AUCUCCUGUGAGGGUGUGGGUGGGGAGAGGUGGAGAGUGAGUUGGACAGACAGGCAUCAGCUGAUGCUGGGACCAUGGAGGGGACAGAGGAUAUUUAUGUAAAUCAAGAUCUGCCUUCGAAGCCAGGGCUAAGAAGAAAGGAGCCAGAACAGGUGCCCAGAGAUUUACAGAUGAGGAUUACCCCGACUAUGAGAACAUCUCAAUACCCUCAAGGAGCAAGGAUGGUGCUCUGGAGAGUCAAUCAGUGCCCAUCCAGUGUGGCUCUGAGUUUUCCCAGAAGCUCAACAUUUUGAAGUGGGAGCUGAGGAAUGUUUCUAGCACCCUCCACAAGGAGCAUGAGAACAUAAAGAAAUUGGAGACUGAGAUUGCUGCAAUAAAUAAAAAAACUAAUUCCUAUGAAAAGAUGGCAAGCCAGCUUAGAUCAGACCUGACCAAAAAUACUAAUACCUUGGAUCGUUUGAAGAAUCAAGUGGAAAAUUUGAAUAAGGCUCCACAACCAGGACCAAAUCCCAGUGCUAAUUCAACCUGAUAAUGAAGGAGACAAGGCUUCCAUCUGGGAAACGGGGCUUGUCCUAGAAGUUGGUGAGGCUGGAUCCCUCUGGCCUCAGUUUCCCUCUUGUGAUAUGGGUGUGUUUGUGUACUUGUGAUCAGUAUGUAAUGUGCUUUAAGGUACUCAAAGGAAAAGAAAAAUUAAACUUUGGACAUCAUUCUCCAGAUCAUGUCUAGUGCACAGUUUUAUUGGGUGUGUCCAGGGUGG
rnacentral:lncRNA from 1 species